GUGAGUGGCGGACGGGUGAGUAACACGUGGGUAACCUGCCCUAAGUGGGGAUAACAUUUGGAAACAGAUGCUAAUACCGCAUAAAACCCAACACCGCAUGGUGUAGGGUUGAAAGAUGGUUUCGGCUAUCACUUUAGGAUGGACCCGCGGUGCAUUAGUUAGUUGGUGAGGUAAAGGCUCACCAAGACCGUGAUGCAUAGCCGACCUGAGAGGUAAUCGGCCACACUGGGACUGAGACACGGCCCAGACUCCUACGGGAGGCAGCAGUAGGGAAUCUUCCACAAUGGACGAAAGUCUGAUGGAGCAACGCCGCGUGAGUGAAGAAGGUUUUCGGAUCGUAAAACUCUGUUGUUGGAGAAGAAUGUAUCUGAUAGUAACUGAUCAGGUAGUGACGGUAUCCAACCAGAAAGCCACGGCUAACUACGUG
rnacentral:rRNA from 1 species